GAACUAAUAACUUAAUCGGUAAAGGAUUUCUCUGUCACAGAAGUAGAUGUGGGAUCGAGGCCCACUUAGUUCG
rnacentral:tRNA from 1 species